AGUGAACGCUGGCGGUAGGCCUAACACAUGCAAGUCGAACGGCAGCACAGUAAGAGCUUGCUCUUACGGGUGGCGAGUGGCGGACGGGUGAGGAAUACAUCGGAAUCUACUUUUUCGUGGAGGAUAACGUAGGGAAACUUACGCUAAUACCGCAUACGACCUACGGGUGAAAGCAGGGGAUCUUCGGACCUUGCGCGAAUGAAUGAGCCGAUGUCGGAGUAGCUAGUUGGGGGGGUAAAGGCCCACCAAGGCGACGAUCCGUAGCUGGUCUGAGAGGAUGAUCAGCCACACUGGAACUGAGACACGGUCCAGACUCCUACGGGAGGCAGCAGUGGGGAAUGUUGGACAAUGGGCGCAAGCCUGAUCCAGCCAUACCGCGUGGGUGAAGAAGGCCUUCGGGUUGUAAAGCCCUUUUGUUGGGAAAGAAAAGCAGCAGGUUAAUACCCCGCUGUUCUGACGGUACCCAAAGAAUAAGCACCGGCUAACUUCGUG
rnacentral:rRNA from 1 species